AGUGAACGCUGGCGGUAGGCCUAACACAUGCAAGUCGAACGGCAGCACAGUAAGAGCUUGCUCUUACGGGUGGCGAGUGGCGGACGGGUGAGGAAUACAUCGGAAUCUACUUUUUCGUGGGGGAUAACGUAGGGAAACUUACGCUAAUACCGCAUACGACCUACGGGUGAAAGCAGGGGAUCUUCGGACCUUUCGCGAUUGAAUGAGCCGAUGUCGGAUUAGCUAGUUGGCGAGGUAAAGGCCCACCAAGGCGACGAUCCGUAGCUGGUCUGAGAGGAUGAUCGGCCACACUGGAACUGAGACACGGUCCAGACUCCUACGGGAGGCAGCAGUGGGGAAUAUUGGACAAUGGGCGCAAGCCUGAUCCAGCCAUACCGCGUGGGUGAAGAAGGCCUUCGGGUUGUAAAGCCCUUUUGUUGGGAAAGAAAAGCAGCAGGUUAAUACCCCGCUGUUCUGACGGUACCCAAAGAAUAAGCACCGGCUAACUUCGUG
rnacentral:rRNA from 1 species